GUCUGUCGGAGAAGCAAGUCGGAG
rnacentral:miRNA from 1 species